GACGGAACGCUGGCGGCGCGCUUAACACAUGCAAGUCGUACGGGCAGCUUUCGGGCUGUCAGUGGCGAACGGGUGCGUAACACGUGAGCAACCUGCCCGGGUGUGGGGGAUAACCAGGGGAAACCCUGGCUAAUACCGCAUAUGGCUUCAGGGUCACAUGGCUUUGGAGUGAAAGGAGCUUUACGGCUCUAUGCCUGGAGGGGCUCGCGGCGUAUCAGCUAGUUGGUGGGGUAACGGCCUACCAAGGCGACGACGCGUAGGGGGUCUGAGAGGAUGGCCCCCCACAUUGGGACUGAGAUACGGCCCAGACUCCUACGGGAGGCAGCAGUGGGGAAUCUUGCGCAAUGGCCGAAAGGCUGACGCAGCGACGCCGCGUGGGGGAGGAAGCUUUUCGGAGUGUAAACCCCUGUCAGGUGGGACGAACGGCCGGAGGAGGAAAUGCCUUACGGUUUGACGGUACCGUUCCAGAGGAAGCCACCGGCUUAAAUCGUUCCC
rnacentral:rRNA from 1 species